rnacentral:lncRNA from 1 species
CGCCAUUGGAGUGAUUUUCAACCUUCACUGACCUUUCACUGACUCUUCAUUUGGAAUGUUUAAUUAACUUAGAUAUUUUAGAGGGAAUCGGGUGGGUUAUUGGGUUUAUGGGGCGGGUUGUGGGUUUAUGGGUUAAAAGAAUGGUCAAACGGGUAGUUGAUUAGGAUUAAAACACGUGUACAAAACGAGGGGUCCGUUAGUGAGAG